GGAUUAGAAACCCGGGUAGUCCACGCCGUAAACGAUGUCAACUAGCCGUUGGGGGCCUUGUGCCCUUGGUGGCGUAGCUAACGCGCUAAGUUGACCGCCUGGGGAGUACGGUCGCAAGAUUAAAACUCAAAUGAAUUGACGGGGGCCCGCACAAGCGGUGGAGCAUGUGGUUUAAUUCGACGCAACGCGAAGAACCUUACCAGGUCUUGACAUCCAGAGAACUUUCCAGAGAUGGAUUGGUGCCUUCGGGAGCUCUGAGACAGGUGCUGCAUGGCUGUCGUCAGCUCGUGUCGUGAGAUGUUGGGUUAAGUCCCGUAACGAGCGCAACCCUUAUCCUUAUUUGCCAGCGGGUAGAGCCGGGAACUUUAAGGAGACUGCCGGUGACAAACCGGAG
rnacentral:rRNA from 1 species